rnacentral:rRNA from 1 species
UACGAAGGGGGCUAGCGUUGCUCGGAAUGACUGGGCGUAAAGGGCGCGUAGGCGGAUGGUACAGUCAGAUGUGAAAUUCCCGGGCUCAACCUGGGGGCUGCAUUUGAUACGUGCUGUCUUGAGUUCGGAAGAGGGUCGUGGAAUUCCCAGUGUAGAGGUGAAAUUCGUAGAUAUUGGGAAGAACACCGGUGGCGAAGGCGGCGACCUGGUCCAAGACUGACGCUGAGGCGCGAAAGCGUGGGGAGCGAACAGG